rnacentral:rRNA from 1 species
AGAGUUUGAUCCUGGCUCAGGACGAACGCUGGCGGCGUGCUUAACACAUGCAAGUCGAACGGACUGCCCUCAUAAACCCUUCGGGGUUUUUGAGGAUCACAGUCAGUGGCGGACGGGUGAGUAACACGUGAACAACCUGCCCUCAGGCCGGAGAUAACCUGGCGAAAGUCGGGCUAAUAUCCGAUUGAGUUAAGGGAUGGCAUCAUCCCUUAAUGAAAGAUGGGGCUAGUAACCAUUACCUGAGGAGGGGUUCGCGCCGGAUUAGUUAGCUGGUGGGGUAAAGGCCUACCAGGACAGCAAUCCGUAGCUGGUCUGAGAGGACGAUCAGCCACACUGGGACUGAGACACGGCCCAGACUCCUACGGGAGGCAGCAGUGGGGAAUAUUCUACAAUGGGGGAAACCCUGAUAGAGCGACGUCGCGUGAGUGAAGAAGGCCUUCGGGUUGUAAAGCUCUGUCACCGGGGAAGAAGGUAUUUAUGAGGAAAUGCAUAGAUAUUGACGGUACCUGGAGAGGAAGCACUGGCUAACUACGUGCCAGCAGCCGCGGUAAUACGUAGAGUGCAAGCGUUGUCCGGAAUUAUUGGGCGUAAAGGGUACGCAGGCGGCCCUGCAAGUCAAAUGUGAAAGGUCACAGCUUAACUGUGAAAAUGCGUUUGAAACUGUAGGGCU